UCACCGCCUGCCUCGAUGACGGUGUUAACAUUGUUAUGGCAGGUGUCCGGACCUCUUUUACAAUAGCCCAGUCUCAUUGUUCACCCAAACAUCAAUCCAUAGACCGGUAUACUGUUCACUUUUUCUACAAUAGUCCCAAUGCCUGCUGCGACCGGUUCAUGGGUGUCUAUUGUUGCGCCUGUGAACGGCUCUCCAAGGGGCCUCUACGUGUUGGAUCUAUAUCCCCACGCAAGCCUAUCAAAAGACCGGGAUUUAUAGGCCCGUGAAAUCCAAAAGGAGACA